ACAGAGGAUAUAGGGGAAGGGGGUCUGUCUCAGGAAAGCCCCCUUGGGUCCUGCUCGGUUACACAACCACCAUUCUACUUUCUGCUUCUCUGAGUCUGACGACUUCAAAUGUCUCAUGUUGAGAAACGUAACCAACCUACCACAUACAUAAAAAUACAAAUAGCAAUUUAGACAAAAUGAGGUGACAGAGGAAUAUGUUUCAGAGGAAGCAACAAGCUAAAAACCCAGAAGAACUAAGUGACUUGGAGAUAGGCAAUCUCCCUGGCUUGCAACAGUUCCUCCAAGGGCUCUCCAAGGCUGCAGG